UUAAGUCCCGCAACGAGCGCAACCCUCGCCCUUAGUUGCCAGCAUUUAGUUGGGCACUCUAGGGGGACUGCCGGUGAUAAGCCGGAGGAAGGUGGGGAUGACGUCAAGUCCUCAUGGCCCUUACGGGCUGGGCUACACACGUGCUACAAUGGUGGUGACAGUGGGCAGCGAGACGGCAACGUCGAGCUAAUCUCCAAAAGCCAUCUCAGUUCGGAUUGGGGUCUGCAACUCGACCCCAUGAAGUUGGAAUCGCUAGUAAUCGCGGAUCAGCAUGCCGCGGUGAAUACGUUCCCGGGCCUU
rnacentral:rRNA from 1 species